GGUUGUGUAGUGUAGUGGUUAUCACUCCGGAUUUUGAUUAGUAUCAGAUUUUCCGGCAACCCCGGUUCGAACCCGGGCACGACCU